rfam:Amazona aestiva scaffold_75, whole genome shotgun sequence.
GUUGGCUACGGAGACAUGGUCCCCACGACCAUUGGGGGGAAAAUAGUGGGUUCCUUGUGUGCCAUUGCUGGCGUAUUAACGAUUGCCUUACCAGUGCCCGUCAUAGUGUCUAAC